AUAAGCUCUUUUGAGAGCUUC
rnacentral:miRNA from 1 species